rnacentral:rRNA from 1 species
CCUGGCUCAGGACGAACGCUGGCGGCGUGCCUAAUACAUGCAAGUAGAACGCUGAAGAGAGGAGCUUGCUCUUCUUGGAUGAGUUGCGAACGGGUGAGUAACGCGUAGGUAACCUGCCUUGUAGCGGGGGAUAACUAUUGGAAACGAUAGCUAAUACCGCAUAACAAUGGAUGACACAUGUCAUUUAUUUGAAAGGGGCAAUUGCUCCACUACAAGAUGGACCUGCGUUGUAUUAGCUAGUAGGUGAGGUAAUGGCUCACCUAGGCGACGAUACAUAGCCGACCUGAGAGGGUGAUCGGCCACACUGGGACUGAGACACGGCCCAGACUCCUACGGGAGGCAGCAGUAGGGAAUCUUCGGCAAUGGGGGCAACCCUGACCGAGCAACGCCGCGUGAGUGAAGAAGGUUUUCGGAUCGUAAAGCUCUGUUGUAAGUCAAGAACGGGUGUGAGAGUGGAAAGUUCACACUGUGACGGUAGCUUACCAGAAAGGGACGGCUAACUACGUGCCAGCAGCCGCGGUAAUACGUAGGUCCCGAGCGUUGUCCGGAUUUAUUGGGCGUAAAGCGAGCGCAGGCGGUUUGAUAAGUCUGAAGUUAAAGGCUGUGGCUCAACCAUAGUUCGCUUUGGAAACUGUCAAACUUGAGUGCAGAAGGGGAGAGUGGAAUUCCAUGUGUAGCGGUGAAAUGCGUAGAUAUAUGGAGGAACACCGGUGGCGAAAGCGGCUCUCUGGUCUGUAACUGACGCUGAGGCUCGAAAGCGUGGGGAGCGAACAGGAUUAGAUACCCUGGUAGUCCACGCCGUAAACGAUGAGUGCUAGGUGUUGGAUCCUUUCCGGGAUUCAGUGCCGCAGCUAACGCAUUAAGCACUCCGCCUGGGGAGUACGACCGCAAGGUUGAAACUCAAAGGAAUUGACGGGGGCCCGCACAAGCGGUGGAGCAUGUGGUUUAAUUCGAAGCAACGCGAAGAACCUUACCAGGUCUUGACAUCCCGAUGCUAUUUCUAGAGAUAGAAAGUUACUUCGGUACAUCGGUGACAGGUGGUGCAUGGUUGUCGUCAGCUCGUGUCGUGAGAUGUUGGGUUAAGUCCCGCAACGAGCGCAACCCCUAUUGUUAGUUGCCAUCAUUCAGUUGGGCACUCUAGCGAGACUGCCGGUAAUAAACCGGAGGAAGGUGGGGAUGACGUCAAAUCAUCAUGCCCCUUAUGACCUGGGCUACACACGUGCUACAAUGGUUGGUACAACGAGUUGCGAGUCGGUGACGGCGAGCUAAUCUCUUAAAGCCAAUCUCAGUUCGGAUUGUAGGCUGCAACUCGCCUACAUGAAGUCGGAAUCGCUAGUAAUCGCGGAUCAGCACGCCGCGGUGAAUACGUUCCCGGGCCUUGUACACACCGCCCGUCACACCACGAGAGUUUGUAACACCCGAAGUCGGUGAGGUAACCUUUUGGAGCCAGCCGCCUAAGGUGGGACAGAUGAUUGGGGUGAAGUCGUAACAAGG